AGCCAUCUCCGAGAGAGAUGGAGAGGGAGAGAGAGGGGGGAGGGAGGGGAUGAUUAUGACAUGUGGACCUCACCAUUAAAAAAAAGAAAAUGAUGACUGGAUUGCCAUGUGUACGUCACGUAGGACAGAACCGUUUUGGAUUGUGUUGAGGGUGGUAAUUUGCCCAGUGUUGAAAGUUUAGGGUAAAGGAUGUCUGUUUUUCGGAUUUAGGGGUAAUUAGGAUAAUUUGUACUUUUUCCUUUUCAAAAUGCUGUGGGGUCUACCGUCUCUGGCACCGUAUGGAUAGAUCCUUCACGGCUGUUUAUAGUUUAAAAUUCAAAG
rnacentral:lncRNA from 1 species